rnacentral:rRNA from 1 species
GACGAACGCUGGCGGCGUGCCUAAUACAUGCAAGUAGAACGCUGAAGGCGGAGCUUGCUUCUCUGGAUGAGUUGCGAACGGGUGAGUAACGCGUAGGUAACCUGCCUGGUAGCGGGGGAUAACUAUUGGAAACGAUAGCUAAUACCGCAUAAUAGUAGAUGUUGCAUGACAUUUGCUUAAAAGGUGCAAUUGCAUCACUACCAGAUGGACCUGCGUUGUAUUAGCUAGUUGGUGGGGUAACGGCUCACCAAGGCGACGAUACAUAGCCGACCAGCGAGGGGAAUCGGCAACGCUGGGACGAGAGGACGGCCCGGAACCCUACGGGAGGGAGAAGGAGGGGAUCUCUGGGAAAGGAAGGAAGGCGGAACGAGGAACGCCGGGUGAGGGAAGAAGGUUGUCGGGUCGUGAAGCUCAGUUGUAAGAGAGGAACGAGUGGGAGAGUGAAAAGUGCACAUUGUGACGGUAGCUUAAGAAAAAGGGACGGCUAACUACGUG